rnacentral:lncRNA from 1 species
GGAGCUAUUUCUACUGUCAAGAUUUGCUCCGAUGGAAUAUGGGUAUAAUUGUCCCUCCGACUUGAGACCGUCACAGUGAUUUGCAGGCAACUCACUACACUGAGACACUGGACUACCUGAAUUUCUAAUUCAGUGAUGGAAGGCAGCUGGGUGUAGUCAAGUACUUGACUUGUCGGUGCGUGUGUCAAGAUGGGAUUGACCACUCCAGUUCAGGAGUGGUGUACAGUCGUAUUUUAAUUUAACAAAACCUU